rnacentral:miRNA from 15 species
CAUCGCCACCAAGUGUACUUCAG